AAUCAUAUCUCUUCUUUUACUUUUUCUUUUGAAUAGACAUUCUACUUAGUAGGGAAUCUCUUUCCAGUCUACUGGCCCUUAGCAUCUCCCCUUCCUGUGCUGUCUGAGGUGCCAUAUGCCAAACUUGAUGAAAAUGCUAAUGGAACUUUCUUUGAGUUUGCCAAGUGAUUCUUUCCUCCUCUGGGAUCUCAUAUUCAAAACGAAUAUCCUGAUGCAAAUAACAGCAGGGGAAGGUUCAAGAAUAAAGAAAAGCAACAAAGUUUUAUCAGUUGCUGCCAACACUAUAAGCCCAAAUCAGCUUUACAGCAAAGCUAGCACUGAUUUCCCAAAGUACAAUGAAUCAUGGAGAAGAUAGCAUUGACUGUCUGCCAAGCACUAAGCACGAUUCUGUGUAUUCUACAGGUACUCAUUCAUUUAAUCUUCAAAACAAACUUGUUUCUAAAAACACGAUCAUUGUCAACAUUACAUUAGGAAAGGAAGGCCGAAGAGAGGCUUAGCAACUUGUCAAAGGUGAUGUCUCUAACAAGGAGCCUGACAAGGUUCAACUCCUGUCCGAGUGUCGAUAAUUAAUUUAUACAGCUCUUGCAAAUGCAUAAGCAAUCUUUUAUUCUCACAGGCCUCGUGUUGCAAGCCCAUUGUCUAUAAGCUGCUGCUUUACUCUACACUGUGUUUAUUACACCCUAGGCUGAUGGAACCUCCUCUGUGUAGGACAUUGUCAGUCUUGUGUCAGAUGGAAAAGGACUUCACAACUGGAGAAACGUUCCCAUACUCUGAUUUUCUUAUUCUGAAAAUGUCUGGGGAAGAAUUGUGCCAACAGUUAAAGAUAAUGAGAAACCAUUCUCUGAGGUGGGGGUAUAUCAUUCUC
rnacentral:lncRNA from 1 species